rnacentral:misc_RNA from 1 species
GGACUACUAGGGUUUCUAAUCCCGUUCGCUCCCCAUGCUUUCGCACUCCAGCGUCGGUAGGGACCCAGAGAGCUGCCUUCGCUUUUGGCGUUCCUUCGUAGAUCUGCGGAUUUCACCCCUACACACGAAAUUCCACUCUCCUCUGUCUCACUCAAGUGAAUUGGUUUCGAGAGCAUUCCACCAGUUUUUGGCGACUUUCACUUUCAACCCGAUUCACCGCCUACGUGCCCUUUACGCCCAGUCAUUCCGAAGAACACUUGCCCCCCCCGUCUUACCGCGGCGGCUGGCAC